rnacentral:lncRNA from 1 species
CUCAAUUUGGAGAGGUCGUUCUCCAGUGGGGAAGAAGGAAUAACAAAAGGAGCAUUUUUGGAGCAUUUAUUAACAGUAUAGGCUAGGCUUUUUUUCUAUGUAUUUUAUAUGUGUCUAUUCAUUUAAUGCCCUUGAUAAUCCACUGAAAGAGGUGUCAUUAUUAUCAUCCCAUUUUACAGAAGAAGAAACUGAAACAAGAAGAUGAGCAUCUCAGCAUCUCAGAGGUGAAGAAACUGGCCUAGCCACCACGUGGUGGCACUUGCAGCCUGAGUCAGCAGAUCCCCAGGCAAAUGAAGACUCUGAGAUGAAGACAGCUGAGCGCAUGAUGGGGUAGGUCAGCCUCCCUCAUGGAAAUUCUGUGUGCCUGAGGCCCACCCUUCCAGUGCAGAUGGAGGGAUGGGAUGGAAAUGAAUCUAGGGGAACGCAUCCCAGCUGUGAUCCAGCCACCUCUGCGUUUGAAGGCUGGGGGUUAUUCCCUCCUCAUGGUUGCCACGCAUUCUUAUGUUUGCAUGUCAUGCUUGGAACUGCCGCAGCCACUUUGUGACAGCCUGAGAAUGAAUCCAGCGCUAAAAUCAGUCUAGCAAAAGGAGGAGAAACACCUGGGUCUCCAUGAUGUCACUGAGCAAGUGAAUUGACCAGCUGUGAGGUACUUCUGUGAUUCCUCCAUCUCACAGGACUGGUGUCCUUAUAAUGAAAGGAAGAGACACUGAGUUCUGUCUCCCAGCCUUGUGAGGACACGUUGAGAUGACUGCAAGCUGGGAAGAGAGCCUUCACCAGGAGCUGAAUUUGCUGGUAGUUUGAUCUUGAACCACAUUGAGAUGACUGCAAGCUGGGAAGAGAGCCUUCACCAGGAGCUGAAUUUGCUGGUACUUUGAUCUUGAACCUCCAGCCUCCAGAAUUGUGACAAAAUAAAUUUCUGUUGUUGAAGCCACUCAGUCAGAUGUUUUGUUAUGGCAGCCCAAGCUGAGCAAUAUACUGACCAUCACUUGAUU